rnacentral:rRNA from 1 species
CAGUCCCGCGGUAAAACGGAGGGAGCUAGCGUUGUUCGGAAUUACUGGGCGUAAAGCGCGCGUAGGCGGUUACUCAAGUCAGAGGUGAAAGCCCGGGGCUCAACCCCGGAACUGCCUUUGAAACUAGGUGACUAGAAUCUUGGAGAGGUCAGUGGAAUUCCGAGUGUAGAGGUGAAAUUCGUAGAUAUUCGGAAGAACACCAGUGGCGAAGGCGACUGACUGGACAAGUAUUGACGCUGAGGUGCGAAAGCGUGGGGAGCAAACAGGAUUAGAUACCCCCGUAGUCCCUGUCUCUUAUACA